GACGACGCUGCGGCGUGCCUAAUACAUGCAAGUCGAACGCUUUUUCUUUCACCGGAGCUUGCUCCAUCGAAAGAAAAAGAGUGGCGAACGGGUGAGUAACACGUGGGUAACCUGCCCAUCAGAAGGGGAUAACACUUGGAAACAGGUGCUAAUACCGUAUAACACUAUUUUCCGCAUGGAAGAAAGUUGAAAGGCGCUUUUGCGUCACUGAUGGAUGGACCCGCGGUGCAUUAGCUAGUUGGUGAGGUAACGGCUCACCAAGGCAACGAUGCAUAGCCGACCUGAGAGGGUGAUCGGCCACACUGGGACUGAGACACGGCCCAGACUCCUACGGGAGGCAGCAGUAGGGAAUCUUCGGCAAUGGACGAAAGUCUGACCGAGCAACGCCGCGUGAGUGAAGAAGGUUUUCGGAUCGUAAAACUCUGUUGUUAGAGAAGAACAAGGAUGAGAGUAAAAUGUUCAUCCCUUGACGGUAUCUAACCAGAAAGCCACGGCUAACUACGUGCCAGCAGCCGCGGUAAUACGUAGGUGGCAAGCGUUGUCCGGAUUUAUUGGGCGUAAAGCGAGCGCAGGCGGUUUCUUAAGUCUGAUGUGAAAGCCCCCGGCUCAACCGGGGAGGGUCAUUGGAAACUGGGAGACUUGAGUGCAGAAGAGGAGAGUGGAAUUCCAUGUGUAGCGGUGAAAUGCGUAGAUAUAUGGAGGAACACCAGUGGCGAAGGCGGCUCUCUGGUCUGUAACUGACGCUGAGGCUCGAAAGCGUGGGGAGCGAACAGGAUUAGAUACCCUGGUAGUCCACGCCGUAAACGAUGAGUGCUAAGUGUUGGAGGGUUUCCGCCCUUCAGUGCUGCAGCAAUCGCAUAAUGCACU
rnacentral:rRNA from 1 species